CCGCCGCCGCCGGCAGUCCGGCGCGGCGCCGCCCGACGCCUUCUCGCACGCAAGGAGGCGCUGGUCGUCGCCUUGCCUCGGCGCAGGGAACUCCGCUCUCCAGAUUAAACCAUGAACUGCACGAAGAAACUGUGGGAAAGAAAACAGAAGAACUAUUCGCAAGACAUCUCUUGAAUACUGACGACGAUGCGUAUCCAGAUGCAUAUCCACGUGAGCCGAGAGGUGGAUGAAGCUGGAUAAAGUACUGACUACAAUGGGCACUGGAAUAACUGGAGAAAUGCAGCACAAAGGAUGAGGCCCUGCUUCGUCAACAGUUCCAGCAACGCUAAAAGAGGCCAGUCCUGGGACCACGAGCAGCCGGCCUCACUCCAGAGCUGUCACAGGAUGAACAACUGUGAGGCGCCAAACAUCACAUAAUACCGCGCAGGCGUAUUACCAGAGAAAGUAAAAAGACGUCCUUCGAAAAUGGGUAUGCGAAACUCUGAAGAUGUCUUCCCAGCUACGUAUUGAGUUUUCACAAGCUGUAUCCGUAAUGUUCAAACACAGUCGAUUUGUCAAGUACGGAAAUAUUCAAUAGUUGAUGAGAUGACACAGUACCAGACGAAGUGAGAAAUAGAAUUGCCGUGAAGGACGUUAUUGUCAGAAAAUUAAACAAAAUGGGUUCAAGAAUUGCUACAUGUGAAAAACAUAAAACCAAUGUUCUAAUGCUGCAUCUGUCCUGAAGAGGAAAGCACGAGACCUAAAACCUCAACGUUUUAAUGCAGCAUUUUUUUUUGUCGUAAUAGCAGCGUUUAUUUGUGUAUUGAUCCAACUGGUAUACUGACAGUUUGUAGCCAAACAGAG